UUGAGAAGCAUGCUGGAGAUAUCACAAGUGCGAAUGCUGACGUGAGUAACGAUAAUGGGAGUGAAAAACUCCCACGCCGAAAGACCAAGGUUUCCUGCGCAACGCUAAUCGGCGCAGGGUGAGUCGGCCCCUAAGGCGAGGCAGAAAUGCGUAGCUGAUGGGAAACAGGUUAAUAUUCCUGUACUUCUUAUAACUGCGAUGGAGAGACGGAGAAGGCUAUGCCUACCGGGCGUUGGUUGUCCCGGGGAAAGGCUGUAGGCUGAGGUGUUAGGCAAAUCCGGCACCUUAAGGCUGAGAGUCGAGACCACUGGUCCUUUGUGACCGGGAAGUGGUUGAUGCCAUGCUUCCAGGAAAAUCUUCUAAGCUUCAGGUUAUAAGGAACCGUACCCCAAACCGACACAGGUGGUUGGGAUGAGUAUUCUAAGGCGCUUGAGAGAACUCGGGUGAAGGAACUAGGCAAAGUGGUACCGUAACUUCGGGAGAAGGUACGCCGCUGACGGUGAUGAGACUUGCUCUCUGAGCUAUCGGCGGUCGCAGUGAAAAGGCCCCUGCAACUGUUUAUUAAAAACACAGCACUCUGCAAACGCGUAAGCGGACGUAUAGGGUGUGACGCCUGCCCGGUGCCGGAAGGUUAAUUGAUGGGGUUAGCUUCGGCGAAGCUCUUGAUCGAAGCCCCGGUAAACGGCGGCCGUAACUAUAACGGUCCUAAGGUAGCGAAAUUCCUUGUCGGGUAAGUUCCGACCUGCACGAAUGGCGUAAUGAUGGGGGCGCUGUCUCCACCCAAGACUCAGUGAAAUUGAAAUCGCUGUUAAGAUGCAGUGUACCCGCGGCUAGACGGAAAGACCCCGUGAACCUUUACUAUAGCUUCACACUGGACGCUGAUGUUGCCUGUGUAGGAUAGCUGGGAGGCUUUGAACUCCGGACGCCAGUUCGGAGGGAGCCAACCUUGAAAUACCAGCCUGGCAUCAUUGGCGUUCUCACUCAGGUCCGUUAUCCGGAUCGAGGACAGUGUGUGGUGGGUAGUUUGACUGGGGCGGUCUCCUCCUAAAGAGUAACGGAGGAGCACGAAGGUAGGCUAAGUACGGUCGGACAUCGUACGGUUAGUGCAAUGGCAUAAGCCAGCUUAACUGCGAGACAGACACGUCGAGCAGGUACGAAAGUAGGUCAUAGUGAUCC
rnacentral:rRNA from 1 species